GCAUGUUUCUGGUUUAUACAAAGCUUCUGAGGAAAAGUUAAGUAGUUAUACAAAGCAGAGGGGUUCUCCGACUUACGAUGGAUGAAUUGCGUGUCAUAAAAGCUUGGGUGCGAGUGUCCACCAGGAAAAAUUCGAUCGACGAAAGGAGAAGUUUUGUCAGUGUCCGAUGGGUACAAACGUCAUAUUGUGGAGCCUGCAUGCAUCACUUUUGCAUCGCAGAAGUACAAGGGAACCAGGCAGUAACAAAGAUGAAAUAUGCUGUUGCUGAAAGAUCCAGUCAAGCACUAAACUGACUAAACUGACUUGAAUGAUCAGACUCCUUAAAAAUGCAAAUCAAAUACAGGUUUUUGUCAGCUUAUCUGGAAAUCUUAGGACAUCACUGAUU